AAUAAUUAGACUUAAAAGGUUUAUAUUAGUUAUUUUUAUCUAUAUUUAAUGUUUCAUUUAUACGUCUAAAUAUUCGAUAUAGUGGAACGAAUUUUUUUUUGAACUACCAUGUGAGACUGUGGGAGGCAAAGGCAACUACCUGUUAAGAAUGAAAAGUGAAUGACGAUUGUAUUCGAUCGGUGAACCGUGUGUACAGGUAUUACAAGUAUUUAUGUUACGGUAAACGUAACUGCCUAAUCUACGAAUCGGUGUCUUGGCCUUGACGGUGUCUCUUCGGAAGGAGUACGAUGUCCUUCGUACAGGCAUAUCCUUGAUUCCUACGUAACCUAUGGAUAAGGCUAAUCCUAACACUAAUUAUCCAUUGAUCAAUAAUUAAUUAACUCUAAUUAAUCUUAACACUCCCCCUUGAUCAAUGGAUCUUGUGUAGACACCGUUUGUAUCUUGUAGAGUCUUUGAUAUUAAAUCGUCAAUCGUAUUCUUAAAAGCUUUGGAAAAACCCUGUGGGAAAAAACCAAAGUAUAUUGAUAUAUCUGGUAAAACUCCUUAAAAACCCAGUGGGAAAAAUAAGGAGAAACCCCAUGAUAUAUAUAAUUCCCAAUGUCUCUAGACCCUUUACGUAAUUCUAAAGACUUAGUCUAAAGACACUUUGAUCAAAGAUCAAUAUGUCAUAUAUUAUCCUUGAAAAACCUCUGUGAGGAAAAAUAGAUAAUAUGACAAUUACCAUGUGUUAACAUUACCUCAUUAAAAACUUUAUGUGAGAAUGCUUCUUAAGAGUAAAACUCAUAUAAAGAAAAGAGUGUAAUGUGAUGCUUAUGUAGGUUAUCUCUUAAUGAGAUUCUCCCCCUGAUUCUCGCAAAUCUCUAAGUCUUCUCAUACCAAUUCCUUUGACGCAUUUAGAAAAUGAUGAGUAUGGUAGAGACUUUGUGAAUAAAUCCGCUAGAUUAUCACAAGACUUAGUUUGCAAGAUUUCUAUCUCUCCAUUUUGUUGGAGUUCAUGGGGGUAGAAUAGUUUAGGAAUAAUAUGCUUAGUCAUAUUACUCUUAAUAUAACCUGACUCCAUCUGACUAACACAUGCUGAAUUAUCCUCAAAGAUAAUUGUCGGUGCAUCAACCUUUCCAAUGCCACAAGAUUGUAUUAUGUGGUUUAUCAUUCUGCGGAGCCAUACGCAUUCGCGUGAUGCCUCAUAUAAUGCUAUUAUUUCAGAAUGAUUGGUUGAUGUAGAUACUAAAGUCUGCUUUGUAGACUUCCAAGAUAUUGCUGUGCUACCAUGCAUGAAUACAAAGCCUGUUUGCGAUCUGCCAUUGUGGGGAUCUGAUAAAUAACCAGCAUCUGUAUAUCCUAUUAGAUUAGGAUCUUGACUUCUACUAUAGAAUAAUCCAAGAUCUCUAGUGCCAUUAAGGUAUCUUAAAAUUGACUUAACUCCUACCCAAUGACGUUUGGUAGGUGCAGCACUAUGUCUUGCUAAUAAAUUUACUGCAAAUUCAAUAUCCGGCCGGGUAUUGUUAGCAAGAUACAUAAGUGCUCCAAUGGCACUAAGGUAUGGGACUUGUGGUCCUAAUACCUCUUCUUCUUCUCCCCGUGGUCUAAAAGGAUCCUUCUCAACAUCUAAGGAUCUUACUACCAUGGGAGUCUUUAUAGGAUAUGCCUUGUCCAUAUUGAAUUUCUUCAAUAUUUUAUCAAUAUAGGCAGAUUGGUAUACAAAUAUACCAUUGGGUAAAUGUUCAAGUUGUAAACCUAAGCAGUACUUUGUUUUACCUAAGUCCUUCAUUUCAAACUCCGUCUUUAAAUUAUGACGAGCUUCAUUAAUAUCAGUUUCACUGCCAAUGAUAUUAAGAUCAUCGACAUAUACCGAUAUGAUACAGAAUCCUGUUGAGGACCUUUUAAUGAAGACGCAAGGACAGUCAUCAUUAUUUGUGUAUCCCUUCAACUUAAGGAAUUCACUUAACCGAUUGUACCACAUUCGGCCUGACUGCUUUAAGCCAUAUAAUGACUUCUGCAACUUGAUGCAAUACAUGUUACGAUUUGCCUUAUUAUCUGGUACAUGAAUUCCAUCAGGAACCUUCAUGUAUAUAUUAGAAUCUAGUGACCCAUAUAAAUAUGCUGUCACUACGUCCAUCAACUGCAUAGAUAGACGAUUUUGUACUGCCAAUGAGAUUAAAUAUCGGAAUGUUAUUCCACUCAUGACCGGAGAGUAUGUUUCGUUGAAAUCAACGCCAGGUCUUUGCGUAAAACCUUGUGCCACUAGCCUCGCUUUAUACCUCACCACUUCAUUGUUUUCAUUUCUCUUACGAACGAAAACCCAUUUAUAUCCCACAGGUAGGAUACCAGGAGGUGUUGGCCUAACUGCCGAAAACACCUUUCUUUUAUUUAGCGAGGCAAUCUCUACUUCAAUUGCUUCUUUCCACUUAUCCCAGUCUGAGCGCUUCUUGCACUCAGCCAUAGACUUGGGAUCUAAAUCAGUGUGAAAGACAUUUGCAAUUUCUUCAGAGAAAUAACAGUCGACUAUUAUGGACUUACGAUUAUAAGAUUCUCCAGUCUCAACAAAAUUGAUAGCGAUUUCUUCAGUCCUUAAAGGUUCAUCAUUAUUUCCCUUAAUGAUGGAUCCAGGAUGUUCCGAUGUACUAGCUCCAGUGUUUAUGCGCAUAACUGAGCUAGAGUGUGGAUUAUAACUAUCCAUAGGACAUACAAUGUCCUCCAGGUGUUUAUUAACCAAAUUUGUAUUUGAUUUUGUAGUCUUCUUCUGCUUAUUAGCAGAUUUAUCUUGCUUUUUAGAAGUGCUUCUCCCCCUCUUAUUAUUAAUCGGGGGUUGAGUGGUUUUCUUUGGUACCUCCACUCUUUCAGGCACAUUCCUUGCAGGAUGAUAAGACUUCGUGACACCAUUAUAAUCUGUGAAAGCGUCUGGCAGAUUAUUUGCAAUAUUUUGCAAAUUAAUGAUUCUCUGAACCUGUUGUUCAGUCUCAAUAGUACGUGGAUCUUGAAAUGAAAUGCUUUCAGCAUUCCAUUCUAUUUCCUGGCAUUUAUUUCGGUACGAUUCUCCCCCUAAUGUCGGGAAAUGAUCCUCGUUAAAUAUGCAAUCAGCGAACCGGGCAGUAAAAAGAUCCCCUGUCAAGGGUUCUAAGUACUUUAUGAUUGACGGAGAGGAAUAUCCAAUAUAGAUCCCCACUUUCCUGUGUGGACCCAUUGAUGUUCGCUUAGGUGGUGAGAUGGGUACGUAUACAGCGCACCCAAAUUUACGCAAAUGGGAAAUACUAGGAGGAUUCCCACGUACUAAUUGUAAGGGGGAAGUAUCAUGAUAUGCAGUUGGUCGGAGUUGGAUUAAGUCUGCAGCGUGCAGAACUGCAUGACCCCAACACGACGUAGGCAAUUGACAAUUCAUGAGUAAAGGUCUAGCUAUAAGCUUAAUUCGUUUAAUCAAUGAUUCAGCCAGUCCAUUUUGAGUAUGGACAUAAGGAACAGAAUGCUUAACCUGAAUUCCCAAUGCCAUACAAUAAUCAUUAAAUGCACGGGAUGAGAAUUCAGCAGCAUUGUCCAUACGGAUAGAUUGUAUCCGGUGUUCAGGAUAAUGUGCCUUCAAUUUUAUGACCUGAGCCAUAAUUUUAGCGAAGGCUUGGUUACGUGUCGAUAGCAAAGACACAUGAGACCAUCUAGUAGAUGCGUCUAUCAAAACUAAAAAAUAUCUGAACGGCCCCGAUGAAGGCUGAAUCGGACCACAAAUGUCUCCUUGAAUUCGUUCAAGAAAUUUAAGUGGUUCAGCUCGGAUUUUAAGAUAAGAUGGUCUUAAAAUCAAUUUCCCAGUAGCACAAGAAGUGCAACAAAAUUCUUUAUUUUGGGGAAAUUUAGCUUUUGUCAUGUCGUGACCUAUUGAGUUGUUAAUAAUUUUCCUCAUCAUCCCUAUUCCUGGAUGCCCAAGUCGAUCAUGCCAAUUUCGGAAUGUAUCGACAUCUUGGAAAAUUAUUUUAUAAGUAACAUGUGGGACAGGUUUUAUAUAUGUAUAGUACAAUCCAGUUUGGAGUGAAGAGAAUUUUUCACAAAUUUGUUUGCCAUAACCCGUAAGUUUGGUUAAUAGGAGAUAUUCCUUAUUAUUGUCUACAUGUGUUUCUGCAUGUAGACCGUUCUUACGGAUGUCUCUAAAACUUAGAAGGGUACGGGUAGAAUUAGGAUACAGUAAUGCAUCCUCUAUCGUUAUUUGUGUACCCAUAGGCAAUGUAAUAGUGGCUCGUCCAGAGCCAACUAUCACAGUGUCUUUACCAUUAAUGGUCAUAAUAUUUCCUUCUUUUUUCUUAAGAUUUUGGAAAUAUUUAAUUUCUCUAAGUAUAGAGUUUGUGGUACAAGAGUCCACAAGGCAUAAUUCUUCCGCCGAUGGAUUGCUUGUUUUCGACAUCUAUAUGUCAUAUACUUUAAAUUAAAAGAAUGAAUAUGCAACAAUAACGUAUCAAAAGAACAAGUGUAUAUAAAUAUUAUAUAUAUAUAUAUAUCAAAUAAUAUACAAAGUAUAGUAUAUUUAUUUAUAUACAAUCAAAAGGUAUAAGCCUGCUAUAAGAUAGCUAUUAUUAUUACAACACAAAUUGUCAAGUCUGGACCAAACUACUCUAGAUCUCCAAAUAUGUCUCCAGAUCCGAAAUCUAUGAGCAUAUUAUCAGUAGAUGGGAGAUCCUCAACAGUGGUGUUCUUUUUCUUAAUCGGGGCUUGCCGAGAACAACCCACUUCUUUAUCCUCAGAGGCAAGAUUGAAAUGGGUUUCAUAUUUCUUGUCCUCUGUUGGUUUGGUCUCUUUUAAUGACUUUUGAUAUAAUGCAACCAAGUGCUUAGGAGUUUUGCAAUCCUUGGCUAAAUGCGAAUAAUCCCCACAACGAUGACACCUUCUGUCAUUCCUGGGUUUCGCAUUGUCUUUCUUUUUAUUGUCGAAGCCUUUCUUCUUAUUGUCGAAGUGAGACUUGUUGCCUUUCUUGAACUUGCGCUUAUUAAACUUGUUCCUUGGAUCGCGUCGUUGGAACUUGUGUUUAUUCCUAUUAUCCUUCUGUACAUUAUGAACCUCGGGGAGAGGUGCCGAUCCAACGGGAUGUUUAUGAUGAUUCUUCAUAAGAAGUUCGUCAUGUUUUUCAGCUUGAGAUAAUGUAUGGAUAAGCUUGGAAUAAACUGUAUAUCUAUGAGCCCUAUAUUGUUGCUGAGUAACUCGAUCAGAAGGAUGCAUAGUAGAGAGGGUCUUCUCUAUCUUAUCAGCAUCAUUAGGCUCUUUCUCACAAAAUUUUAAACGAGAGCAAAUUCUAUGAACAGCAUGAUUAUAAUCAGCCACGGUUUUGAAAUCUUGUAAACGUAGAUUGUUCCAUUCGUGGUUGGCCUCAGGCCAAAUUAGUUCUUUUUGCUGAUCAUAGCGUUCUUUGAGAGCAACCCAUAAUUCCCGGGUGUUCUCAAGCAUAACAUAUUCUGCUUUUAAAUCCUUAUGAAUAUAAAAGCGUAAUAAUGCUAAAGCAGAAAAAUUUUGUUGAUCCGUUACAACAACCCCUUGUUGAGGUUCUUGUAUAGUUGAGGAAAGUUUCCUAGCCGCAAGUGCAAUCUUUAUAUCAGAUGCCCAAGUUGGAUAAUUGCUUCCAUCUAGAGCGAGUUCCUCAAAUUCUCUAGUGGUAGACAUAUUCCUAUACAUGUGAUUAUUAUUUAAUCAAUUAUAUGUAUAGGUUUUUGAUACAACGUUGGUGUGUUGUAAUAAUGAAUACGAUUUAAAAAUGUUGCAAGUUAUAAAGCUACAGAGAUAUAACAAAAAACAAUUUAACGUAAAAACAACUCAUAUGUUGUCCGUGUGAUUUAACUUGUGGUUUGCAAGGUAUAAACAAUGCUAUAUUCUAUUAUUAAACUAUAUUUGUAACAAAUAUAUCGCUGGAAGGUGGUUGAGUACAGCAAUAUAUUUUAAACAGGAAAUUUACGUUACAAAUAUACAAUUUUGAUGUUGCGCAGAAAUUAAGUUGCAACACAAAUAAAUAAUAGAUUGAAACAAAUAUAUAAUAUAUAAAGUAAAACUUGGCAAGUAUUACAAACCACAAAUAUAUUAAUCACGUUCACAGCAUAGUAUGUAGGUACAUAUAUACAAUUCAUUACAAAGCCACAGAUUGCAGAAAUUUAAAUUGUACCGAAUCUUCAGACUAUGCAGAAAAUAGAAACUAAAAAAAAAAAAAAAUAAAACAAACAGAGAGAAGCAGGCCAUCCGCCGUCAGCCAACCAGCCCAGUCAGCCAAGCGUGCGUGCGCUCGCGUGGCCCAGGGAUUGGUGCGGCCCAGCAGUCCGGUACAAGGAGCAGGUUAGGGUUUCAUCCUAACCGUCCCCAUCCUCCAGGCCGCCGCCGUUGAGAGGCCAGGCCGCCGCCGUCCGCCAUUCGCCGUUGCGCCCGCGCCGCUCGCCGUUCCAGUCGCCGGAUCUGCAUAGCCUGCCACCCUCGCACACUUCUUCCCCGCAUCAAGUCGUCCAUGGCCCCGAGGAGUCGGCCAUGGAGGUUGGCCGGCAGGGGCGCGUUCCGGUCGUCCCUUGAAGAGGAACGCCGGGAACGCCCCAGCCAGCCGCGCGCCGUCGCUUUAAUGACGAGGUGCGUCCUCCCCCUCAACCGAGGAGGAAGGGCGACCGGAGCCGAUGGGGCGUGGUGCGGCGGCGGCGACGUCGGCGUAGGAGCGCAGUGAAGACGCCGCAGAUGAAGCGCGAGGAAGAACGGCGUUGAUGUCGUAGGCGAAGCCCGGUGGCCAUGCUCGUGCUCCAGCGGCGUUUCCAUUCCAGUGUGCGGCAACCGCCGCGGGUACGGAUGACGACGGCAUCAACGAUGUGGGCGGCUUCGGCAGCGUGAAGGCGUUCGGCGACGGCAUCGGGCGGUUCGGCAUCGGGCGGAUCGGCAUUGGGGGCGGAGAGUCUCCCCCAAGGCGCCUCGCGAAGAUGGUGGCGCCGUGCUCGGGGCAGACUCCCGGGGCGAACUCGUAGCGGCGUGGCGACGAGCGUCGGGCUCCGGCGACCGUACGGACGCCGUUGAAGCGGCGCACCGGAGCGCGCCCGGCGUCGAUGUCGCGGAGAGCCCGGCGGACGGCGCUCUGGAUGACGAAGCGUGGAGGACCGGCGAUGCUGCGGUUGGCGAGCGUGGACUCCACCGCGUUCGUGAUGGUGUCCACCAUCGCGUUCAUCGAAGGCGAAGAAGGAACCGAAGCCAUGGCAAAACUUACCCCUGGUGAGUGGCUCCGACGAUCUUCCGGCGAUCUCCCUCUUCCCGGCGAAGUUCUCGGCCUACGGUCUCGGCGGUUGUCGAGCGAACAGUGCGUGAUAACGUGUUAAGAAUGAAAAGUGAAUGACGAUUGUAUUCGAUCGGUGAACCGUGUGUACAGGUAUUACAAGUAUUUAUGUUACGGUAAACGUAACUGCCUAAUCUACGAAUCGGUGUCUUGGCCUUGACGGUGUCUCUUCGGAAGGAGUACGAUGUCCUUCGUACAGGCAUAUCCUUGAUUCCUACGUAACCUAU
rnacentral:lncRNA from 1 species